UACGUAGGUCCCGAGCGUUGUCCGGAUUUAUUGGGCGUAAAGCGAGCGCAGGUGGUUUAUUAAGUCUGGUGUAAAAGGCAGUGGCUCAACCAUUGUAUGCAUUGGAAACUGGUAGACUUGAGUGCAGGAGAGGAGAGUGGAAUUCCAUGUGUAGCGGUGAAAUGCGUAGAUAUAUGGAGGAACACCGGUGGCGAAAGCGGCUCUCUGGCCUGUAACUGACACUGAGGCACGAAAGCGUGGGGAUCAAACAGG
rnacentral:rRNA from 1 species